UGAAUAUGAGUGAGUACUCCUUCAUACUCAUGCUACCCUACUUCAAAUUUAUAAACUCUUGAACCUUAUCUUCUCUAAACUUUAGUGGGAAGAGUCUGUCCAAGAAAUUUAUGGAGAACUCCUCCAACUCUAUAGGUCCAGCAUCAUCCUGCAUCAACACCCCUGUCCUUCUUCCACUGCUUGAAUAAAGUGUGAGCUACUCCCUUUAAUUGGUAAUCC
rnacentral:lncRNA from 1 species